AUACGUAGGGUGCAAGCGUUAAUCGGAAUUACUGGGCGUAAAGCGUGCGCAGGCGGUUUUUUAAGGAAGAGGUGAAAGCCCCGGGCUCAACCUGGGAACUGCCUUUGUGACUGCAAGGCUAGAGUACGGCAGAGGGGGAUGGAAUUCCGCGUGUAGCAGUGAAAUGCGUAGAUAUGCGGAGGAACACCGAUGGCGAAGGCAAUCCCCUGGGCCUGUACUGACGCUCAUGCACGAAAGCGUGGGGAGCAAACAGGAUUAGAUACCCUGGUAGUCCACGCCCUAAACGAUGUCAACUGGUUGUUGGGUCUUCAUUGACUCAGUAACGAAGCUAACGCGUGAAGUUGACCGCCUGGGGAGUACGGCCGCAAGGUUGAAACUCAAAUGAAUUGACGGGG
rnacentral:rRNA from 1 species